rnacentral:tRNA from 11 species
CGUGGCCUUGCGGUAAGACGCCAGGCUAAUGCCCUGGGGGUCGCAGGUUCAAGCCCGGU